CCUACGGGUGGCAGCAGUGGGGAAUAUUGCGCAAUGGGCGAAAGCCUGACGCAGCGACGCCGCGUGAGGGAUGAAGGUCUUCGGAUCGUAAACCUCUGUCAGCAGGGAAGAACGGUCACUGUGCUAAUCAGCAGUGAAUUGACGGUACCUGCAAAGGAAGCACCGGCUAACUCCGUGCCAGCAGCCGCGGUAAUACGGCGGGUCGGUGCUUUAAUCGGAAUUACUGGGCGUAAAGCGCUCGUAGGCGGUAUGUCAAGUCAAGGGUGAAAUGCCCGGGCUCAACGUGGGAACUGCCUUUGAAACUGGCAAACUGGAGUGUGUGGGAGGAUAGUGGAAUUCCAGGUGUAGGGGUGAAAUCCGUAGAUAUCUGGAGGAACAUCAGUGGCGAAGGCGACUAUCUGGCACAUAACUGACGCUGAGGAGCGAAAGCGUGGGUAGCAAACAGGAUUAGAUACCCCAGUAGUC
rnacentral:rRNA from 1 species